rnacentral:piRNA from 1 species
UUCGUGUGUGCUAGAGAAGCAAAUGCGCA